GGGGACGCGUGGGUUCGACAGGGGAAGCGAGUUACAGGAUUGCAGGCUGAGGUGCCAUCACCUCAUAAAACCGGUGGCAAAAAAACAAACGCCGAACCAGUAAUGGUUGCAGCCUAACAAAUAGGUUGCCAUCCAACCCGGCCCCACCCCCGACGGGCCGGGAUUGGGUGCCGAAAAGCCGGGGUGCCACCGCCCUGACGCCGGUAGAGGCGGUGAAAGAUUUACCGGCUGGCCCGGCUUAACUCGGUCGGUUGAGGUAAACCGGGUAAGACCAAAGAGCCGACUAAGCUUGUAGCAGGUCCUGGACAGCUUCUUCUGGACGGGGAGUUCGACUCUCCCCCGUCUCCACCA
rnacentral:tmRNA from 1 species